GCCCUCGUAGCUCAGCUGGAUAGAGCAACAGAUUCCUAAUCUGUAGGUCGUGGGUUCGAAUCCCGCCGAGGGCACCA
rnacentral:tRNA from 1 species